rnacentral:rRNA from 1 species
GUGGGGAAUCUUGCGCAAUGGGCGAAAGCCUGACGCAGCCAUGCCGCGUGAAUGAUGAAGGUCUUAGGAUUGUAAAAUUCUUUCACCGGGGACGAUAAUGACGGUACCCGGAGAAGAAGCCCCGGCUAACUUCGUGCCAGCAGCCGCGGUAAUACGAAGGGGGCUAGCGUUGCUCGGAAUUACUGGGCGUAAAGGGCGCGUAGGCGGACAGUUUGGUCAGAGGUGAAAGCCCAGGGCUCAACCUUGGAAUUGCCUUUGAUACUGGCUGUCUUGAGUACGGGAGAGGUGAGUGGAACUCCGAGUGUAGAGGUGAAAUUCGUAGAUAUUCGGAAGAACACCAGUGGCGAAGGCGACUCACUGGCCCGUUACUGACGCUGAGGCGCGAAAGCGUGGGGAGCAAACAGGAUUAGAUACCCCUGUAGUCC